rnacentral:rRNA from 1 species
ACGCUCGACACCUACGGGGGCAGCAGUGGGGAAUAUUGCACAAUGGAGGAAACUCUGAUGCAGCGACGCCGCGUGAGGGAAGAAGGUCUUCGGAUUGUAAACCUCUGUUGUCAGGGACGAUGAUGACGGUACCUGACGAGGAAGCCACGGCUAACUACGUGCCAGCACGCCGAACGUAUNGNGGCGGGCGUGGACGAAGGC